AUGUCUGGGCUCCUGGGGGUCCCAACUCUCCCCAUCUCGGGGGUCCCGGGGGUCCUGGGGCUCUGGUUCCCCCCCAUAUCGGGGGUCCCGGCUCUCCCCAUUUUGGGGGUCCCUGGGUUCUUUACUCUCCCCAUUUCAGGGGUCCCAGGGGUCCCAGGGCUCCUUGUCCCCCCCAAAUCGGGGCUCCUGGGGGUCCCAACUCUCCCCAUUUCGGGGGUCCCGGGGGUCCUGGGGCUUUGGGUUCCCCCCACAUCAGAGCUUCUGGCCCUCCCCAAUUCGGGGGUCCCAAGGGUCCCCACCCUCCCCAAAUCAGGGCUCUUGGGGGUCCAUGCCCUCCCCAUUUCAGGGGUCCCGGGGGUCCUGGGGGUCCCAGCCCUCCCCAUUUCGGGGGUCCCGGGGGUCCUGGGGCUUUGGGUUCCCCCCAUAUCGGGGGUCCUGGCUCUCCCCAUUUUGGGGGUCCCGGGGGUCGUUGCUCUCCCCAAUUCAGGGGUCCCAGGGGUCCUCAUACCCCCCAAAUCAGGGCUCCUGGGGGUCCCAGCCCUCCCCAAUUCGGGGGUCCCAGGGGUCCUUAUACCCCCCAAAUCAGGGCUAAUGGGGGUCCCAAACCUCCCCAUUUUGGGGGUCCCGGGGGUCUUGGGGCUCUGGUUCUCCCCCAUAUUGGGGGUCCCGGGGGUCGUUGCUCUCCCCAAUUCGGGGGUCCCAGGGGUCCUCCCCCCCCCCAUGUCUGGGCUCCUGGGGGUCCCAGCCCUCCCCAUUUCAGGGGUCCCAGGGGUCCUGGGGCUUUGGGUUCCCCCCAUAUCGGGGGUCCCGGCUCUCCCCAUUUUGGGGGUCCCGGGACUUUGAGGGGAACGGGCUCGUUUGGGGGUCCCGGGCCAAGUCAAU
rnacentral:lncRNA from 1 species